GUGCAGCCGCCGCGGUAAUACCGGCAGCUCGAGUGAUGUCCAAUAUUAUCGGGCCUAAAGCGUCCGUAGCUGGCCGCGCAAGUCCGUCGGGAAAUCCACCUGCCCAACAGGUGGGCGUCCGGCGGAAACUGUGUGGCUUGGAACCGGAAGGCUCAGAGGGUACGUCCGGGGUAGGAGUGAAAUCCCGUAAUCCCGGACGGACCACCAAUGGCGAAAGCACUUCGAGAAAACGGAUCCGACAGUGAGGGACGAAAACCAGGGUCUCCAACCGGAUUAGAAACCCCUGUAGUCC
rnacentral:rRNA from 1 species